CCAGACUCCUACGGGAGGCAGCAGUGAGGAAUAUUGGUCAAUGGCCGCAGGGCUGAACCAGCCAAGUCGCGUGAGGGAUGACGGUCCUAUGGAUUGUAAACCUCUUUUGUCAGGGAGCAAAGGGCGCCACGUGUGGCGCUUUGCGAGUACCUGAAGAAAAAGCAUCGGCUAACUCCGUGCCAGCAGCCGCGGUAAUACGGAGGAUGCGAGCGUUAUCCGGAUUUAUUGGGUUUAAAGGGUGCGUAGGCGGACUGGAAAGUCAGCGGUAAAAUCGAGAGGCUCAACCUCUUUCCGCCGUUGAAACUGUCGGUCUUGAGUGGGCGAGAAGUAUGCGGAAUGCGUGGUGUAGCGGUGAAAUGCAUAGAUAUCACGCAGAACUCCGAUUGCGAAGGCAGCAUACCGGCGCUCAACUGACGCUCAUGCACGAAAGUGUGGGUAUCGAACAGGAUUAGAUACCCCCGUAGC
rnacentral:rRNA from 1 species